rnacentral:pre_miRNA from 1 species
UGCAUUAUAGGCUCUGAUGUGUCCGGAUGAAUUUCUCGCCUGGCCGUUUCCGGUCCCCCGGAACAGGUCGGUGGGAUUUUCGUCCGUUUACGUCAGGCCUACA